CCAGCAAUGCCGCGUGCGUGAAGAAGGCCUUCGGGUUGUAAAGCGCUUUUGUCGGGGAGGAAAUCCUAGUGGCUAAUAACUACUGGGGAUGACAGUACCCGAAGAAUAAGGACCGGCUAACUACGUGCCAGCAGCCGCGGUAAUACGUAGGGUCCAAGCGUUAAUCGGAAUUACUGGGCGUAAAGCGUCCGCAGGUGGCUUGAUAAGAUAGACGUGAAAUCCCUGGGCUCAACCUAGGAAUUGCGUUUAUGACUGUCUAGCUAGAGUAUGGGAGAGGGGGGUGGAAUUCCACGUGUAGCAGUGAAAUGCGUAGAGAUGUGGAGGAACACCGAUGGCGAAGGCAACCCCCUGGCCUAAUACUGACACUCAUGGACGAAAGCGUGGGGAGCAAACAGGAUUAGAUACCCUGGUAGUCCACGCCCUAAACGAUGUCUACUAGUUGUUGGGCUUUUCGGAGCUUAGUAACGCAGCUAACGCGUG
rnacentral:rRNA from 1 species